GGCGGCGUCGAGGCGCGAGCAGCUCAGCCAGCCUUGCAGAGGGAGCUCUCGGCAGCUCAGGGGUCCCUCUGCUCGCAGCCACAGCAGCGCCGCCUGCGACACUCGGCGGCGACGGAGACCGGCAGCGGAGAUGAUCGCACUAGGAGAAACUAGAGAACACCCCAGCUGCUGGAGAAGCACGCAGGGCGACCGGCUUUGAAAUAAUGAGAAAGAAGAGUUUGAAACAAGAAGAAAAGAUAAGGUUGGAAGAGGGCAAGAGGAAAGGAGGGGGUGAAAGGAAACCCCUGCAGCCACCAACACAAUAAACUGCAUCUCAAACUGCCUCAGCCUAGCUCUUUUGUGUGUGUGUGUGUGUGUGUGUGUGUGUGUGUGUGUGUGUGUGACAUCAAUUUCUUCCAUACAGACUUCUGAAGAUGAUGACCAGGACAUGGCUAUGACCUAAGUGGCCUUAAAUGAUGAAGUUAUAGGCCUUGGAAGCCCAGUUCCAUUUGCCCCCUCUAGGCAUGGACUUUGCUUGCCUUGAUACCUGUGACUCUUGAUAAUAUCAUGAAUCUCCCACUUCCUGGGGCAGCAGGCUCCCAACAGUCCUGAAUCUGAGCAGGAAGAACAAAUGUCUCCUCAGCAGGGUGCUGUCCUAAGAUGUUGUUCUGGACCAAUCACUGCCUUCACUUUCCUAAGACCUGCUCAGCCAGGGUGUGACUCCACUUUCCCACCACUCUGGACAUUCCUGCCCCACCAUGGGCCUCUUCUGUGGUUUCAAGCCUGCCUGCCUGCCUGGCUGCCCGCCUGGUGGUUCUGGGACUGCCUCUGAACCCACCAGCUAUAGGCGUUGGUGUGGCCUGCCACCUAAUUGUUUUAUCUACCCCAUUUUACUCCAGCUGACCAUCCUAUCCUGCCCUGCUAUGACAGUAGUAAGCCCUGUCUGCCGGCCCUACCCCCACCAGACUACAGUGAACUGCCAGCAUCACUCACAGGUGUUUCCUGUUGCCGUUUCUUUUGCUCAGCAGGGCCUCCCCAGCAGGUGGUGAGGGCGCAGGCAAAACCUCUUCACAGCAGUUCUAAAGCACUGGGGUAAGGCUCCCCAGGGAUCUGGGUCACCCUACCCCCACCCCAGUCUAGGCAACUGUUGACAUCUAAUUGGCUCUUCCUGAGAGCUCCCAUCUCCCCAUGACAGCUUUGUGCACAGUGUCAUGCUGUGCACCCUAAGUAUUGGGACACCAGAAUGGGCUCAAGCUGGGGAGGCCUUACGCAUGUCCAAUCUCCUAGAUAAUAGAAAUUGUGGUAGGAGAAUGGA